CAGCUGCUGUCGAUCAGACCCAGGAGAGAGAGAGAUGGGAGUCGGAGUCACCGGUCGGCGGCGGCUUUUGCUGCUGCAGUCGCCGGAAGGAAAGAGAAUGGAGGGGUCGAGGGUGAUGGUGAGGAUGACAGAGCGGCGCUCGUCGCCGGGGAUGGUGGUACGCGGCCGUGAAGUCCGAGAGAGAGGGAGAAGAGGAGGGGCGUCGAGAGAGGGGCGGCGUGUGUUGGUUUGUGUGUGUGGGGGCAACCUUGAGUGAAAUAAAGUCGAGGGAGUCGGGAGAGGGGUGACCGGCGACGCCUACCGCCGGAGGAGAGAAGAGGGCGAAGGGGAGUGCCUUGCAGCGCAGCUGCUGUGUGCUGUGUGCGUGUGUUUGUUUUGUGUGUGUUCUGAAUGUGUGUGUGCGUGUGAUUAAGAGAGGGAGGAGAAAGGUAAUAGGGUUUGGGGUUUUGGGCCUGGAUUGUUGGGCUUUGGCUAUUGGGCCGGAAAAUGGAGAAGGAAAGAGUGAAUGGGCUUAAGUUGUUGGGUCGAUUUUUAAUUUUAUUUAGCUGGGCCCGAUUUAUUUUAUUCAGUCUGGGCCAUUCCUAUUUUAUUGAAUUGGGCCUCAUCUUUUAAUUGGUAUGGGCUAUUAUUUAUUUAAGCAUGAGCUCUAUUUCAUCUAUUUAAAUGGCUUCCCUAUUUUAUUUAAUUAGACUAAUAAUUAGUUUGAUUAA
rnacentral:lncRNA from 1 species